rnacentral:rRNA from 1 species
UACGAAGGGGGCUAGCGUUGCUCGGAAUUACUGGGCGUAAAGCGCACGUAGGCGGCUCUUUAAGUCGGGGGUGAAAUCCUGGAGCUCAACUCCAGAACUGCCUUCGAUACUGGCGAUCUCGAGUUCGGGAGAGGUGAGUGGAACUGCGAGUGUAGAGGUGAAAUUCGUAGAUAUUCGCAAGAACACCAGUGGCGAAGGCGGCUCACUGGCCCGAUACUGACGCUGAGGUGCGAAAGCGUGGGGAGCAAACAGG